AUUGAACGCUGGCGGCAGGCUUAACACAUGCAAGUCGAACGAGCGGCGGACGGGUGAGUAAUGUCUGGGAAACUGCCUGAUGGAGGGGGAUAACUACUGGAAACGGUAGCUAAUACCGCAUACCAUCAGAUGUGCCCAUAUGGGAUUAGCUAGUUGGUGGGGUAAUGGCUCACCAAGGCGACGAUCCCUAGCUGGUCUGAGAGGAUGACCAGCCACAAUGGACCUGAGACACGGUCCAGACUCCUACGGGAGGCAGCAGUGGGGAAUAUUGCACAAUGGGCGCAAGCCUGAUGCAGCCAUGCCGCGUGUGUGAAGAAGGCCUUCGGGUUGUAAAGCACUUUCAGCGGGGAGGCGUUACCCGCAGAAGAAGCACCGGCUAACUCCGUGCCAGCAGCCGCGGUAAUAC
rnacentral:rRNA from 1 species